AGGGAAUCUUCCACAAUGGACGCAAGUCUGAUGGAGCAACGCCGCGUGAGUGAAGAAGGUUUUCGGACCGUAAAGCUCUGUUGUUGGUGAAGAAGGAUAGAGGUAGUAACUGGCCUUUAUUUGACGGUAAUCAACCAGAAAGUCACGGCUAACUACGUGCCAGCAGCCGCGGUAAUACGUAGGUGGCAAACGUUGUCCGGAUUUAUUGGGCGUAAAGCGAGCGCAGGCGGAAGAAUAAGUCUGAUGUGAAAGCCCUCGGCUUAACCGAGGAAUUGCAUCGGAAACUGUUUUCUUGAGUGCAGAAGAGGAGAGUAGAACUCCAUGUGUAGCGGUGGAAUGCGUAGAUAUAUGGAAGAAUACCAGUGGCGAAGGCGGCUCUCUGGUCUGCAACUGACGCUGAGGCUCGAAAGCAUGGGUAGCGAACAGGAUUAGAUACCCUGGUAGUCCAUGCCGUAAACGAUGAGUGCUAAGUGUUGGGAGGCUUCCGCCUCUCAGUGCUGCAGCUAACGCAUUAAGCACUCCGCCUGGGGAGUACGACCGCAAGGUUGAAAC
rnacentral:rRNA from 1 species